AUUGAACGCUGGCGGCAUGCUUUACACAUGCAAGUCGAACGGUAACAGGCCUUCGGGUGCUGACGAGUGGCGAACGGGUGAGUAAUGCAUCGGAACGUGCCCAGAGGUGGGGGAUAACGCAGCGAAAGCUGUGCUAAUACCGCAUGUGAUCUGAGGAUGAAAGCGGGGGACCAGGCAGCAAUGUUUGGCCUCGCGCCUUUGGAGCGGCCGAUGUCAGAUUAGGUAGUUGGUGGGGUAAAGGCCUACCAAGCCGACGAUCUGUAGCUGGUCUGAGAGGACGACCAGCCACACUGGGACUGAGACACGGCCCAGACUCCUACGGGAGGCAGCAGUGGGGAAUUUUGGACAAUGGGCGCAAGCCUGAUCCAGCAAUGCCGCGUGCGGGAAGAAGGCCUUCGGGUUGUAAACCGCUUUUGUACGGAACGAACAGGCUCUGGCUAAUACCUGGGGCUGAUGACGGUACCGUAAGAAUAAGCACCGGCUAACUACGUG
rnacentral:rRNA from 1 species